rnacentral:rRNA from 1 species
UACGUAGGGUGCAAGCGUUAAUCGGAAUUACUGGGCGUAAAGAGCGCGCAGGCGGUCGUACAAGUCGCGUGUGAAAGCCCCCGGCUCAACUGGGGAGGGUCACGCGAUACUGUUCGACUCGAAGGCAGGAGAGGGUAGUGGAAUUCCCGGUGUAGUGGUGAAAUGCGUAGAUAUCGGGAGGAACACCAGUGGCGAAGGCGACUACCUGGCCUGUUCUUGACGCUGAGGCGCGAAAGCUAGGGUAGCAAACGGG